rnacentral:lncRNA from 1 species
GAUUGUUUCUCUUAGAUUAUAGAGGUCCAAGAACUCUUCAAGAAGACGGUGGUGAUCUUUCUUGAUCACAUAUCUGCACAUUGAGGUGUCUUCUGGUUGAUCAAGAUUCAUAUUGGCAUCCAUGGUGAUUUUUGUGGUUACCUGUUGUGAUUACAGGGGAUAGACUCGUGGAGUCUGGUUCACUUUGAGGACUGUUCAAAGUGGUUUUGCAGAUUGCAGGAGAGGGAACAUCUAGCUACAAUUCUUGCUGUGUGGUUUGCCUAUAUUUUGGUUAAAGGGUUAGAGAGGUGUUUUAUAUUUUUGACGUGGAGGUCUUCUAUAAAAGCCUUGUUGUAAAACCUUCUAUAAAAGUCUUCUAUAGCGCAUUUGCUUUAGGGUACAGGAAGGACACUGGAUGUACACAUUGGGGCCGAACCAGUAUAAAAACCAGUGUUUGAUUUUCUCUAUCCCUGAUCUUUUACUUACAAUCGACUUUAUUAUCAGCGUAGUCAACUACGUUUUUCCGCUGCAUACGAAUUUUCAUUACUUGCAACUCAAGAAAGUUUGUAAAGUUUUAUACUUUGUUUUAAAGAUUGUGAAAGACUCGUAUUUUGAAAACCCACUAAUUCACCCCCCG